rnacentral:misc_RNA from 1 species
AAGUCGUAACAAGGUAACCGUAGGUGAACCUGCGGUUGGAUCAUUACCAAUCCUGGAUUCGCAAGAAUCCUUCAACCCCAUGUGCACUUAUUAUUGUUUCUGGGAGUCUUCGGAUUCCCACACUUAUAAACCUUACUAUCUGUCUGAUAUUAUUUAUAUAAUAAAAAACAA